rnacentral:rRNA from 1 species
CCUACGGGAGGCAGCAGUGGGGAAUAUUGCGCAAUGGGCGAAAGCCUGACGCAGCGACGCCGCGUGAGGGAUGAAGGUCUUCGGAUCGUUAACCUCUGUCAGCAGGGAAGUACGGUCACUGUGCUAAUCAGCAGUGAAUUGACGGUACCUGCAAAGGAAGCACCGGCUAACUCCGUGCCAGCAGCCGCGGUAAUACGGAGGGUGCGAGCGGUAAUCGGAAUUACUGGGCGUAAAGCGCUCGUAGGCGGUAUGUCAAGUCAAGGGUGAAAUCCCCGCGCUCAACGUGGGAACUGCCUUUGAAACUGGCAAACUGGAGUGUGUGAGAGGAUAGUGGAAUUCCAGGUGUAGGAGUGAAAUCCGUAGAUAUCUGGAGGAACAUCAGUGGCGAAGGCGACUAUCUGGCACAUAACUGACGCUGAGGAGCGAAAGCGUGGGUAGCAAACAGGAUUAGAUACCCUGGUAGUC